ensembl:lncRNA PMS2P4 PMS1 homolog 2, mismatch repair system component pseudogene 4
GGGGCGCCUGUGGGAGUCGUGGAGGGAACUUUCCCAGGCCCCGAGGCGGAUCGGGUAUUGAGUCCAUGGAGCGAGCUGAGAGCUAGAGAACCUGCUAAGGCCAUCAAACCUAUCGAUCGGAAGUCAGUCCAUCAGAUUUGCUCUGGGCCGGUGGUACUGAGUCUAAGCACUGCGGUGAAGGAGUUAGUAGAAAACAGUCUGGAUGCUGGUGCCACCAAUAUUGAUCUAAAGCUUAAGGACUAUGGAGUGGAUCUCAUUGAAGUUUCAGACAAUGGAUGUGGGGUAGAAGAAGAAAACUUUGAAGGCUUAACGAUGUCACCAUUUCUACCUGCCACGCAUCGGCGAAGGUUGGGACUCGACUGGUGUUUGAUCACGAUGGGAAAAUCAUCCAGAAAACCCCCUACCCCCACCCCAGAGGGACCACAGUCAGCGUGAAGCAGUUAUUUUCUACACUACCUGUGCACCAUAAGGAAUUUCAAAGGAAUAUUAAGAAGUUUCCUGAGGCCUCCCCAGCCAUGCUUCCUGUACAGCCUGCAGAACUGAUGGCCGUAUAAGAAAAUAAACAACUUGCUAAAACUGCUGAAACUCCCUCUGCUUGUGAGAUUUAAAAAAACUGGCUGAAAUUGGUUGGAACCAACAUGUCCAAUGGAGUCUGAAUAGAAAGAGCUUGCUGACAUCACAGCCCGAAUUUCCACCACAUUUCAUACUAACUCCCCCUGAAUUUGCAUAUGCAAACCACAAGCAAGCAUGAUCAAACAGACAACUGCGCGUGUCCGAGGACUUUCCAGAUCUCCCCUUUCCUUCCACCAAUCACUUACUAAUCUGAGAAUCCAUCCCCUAAUAAAAUCACUGCCUUAAAGCCUGCACAGGAAGACAAAUUUGA